ensembl:lncRNA
CUCAUAAAUAACACGAACACCCGUUCGAUCGAUCUGCAGCGUAAAACAAACAAAAAUACUAAUUAACACAUUUUCAAAAAGAUAAGUGAAAAAUGUUCUGCAAUAAUAUUGGCAUGUUAUGCAAUUCAUCCUCAAAACACAGCUGUUACUUGUCAGAUGCAAUCAAAUGGACGGUAAUAAAAUGCCAUGAUGCCAUCACAAUGCGUAAUGACGCAAAAUGGCUGAUCUUGCGCUCUUAGAAGAUGUGGCAAAUGGAAGGAUUCACGCUGUAGUGCAGCGCACCAUCGGCCUGUUUAAGGGCAGAUGGCGCUGCCUCGACUGCACUAGAGGGAGGUUAUUGUUUACUCCUGAGAGGUGUGCAAAAUCGUGCUGCAUGUGCGGUGCUACAUAAUGUGGCACAGCUUCCAAACGUGCCUCGACCCCCCUGACGCCGAUGUUGGCCCAGACCCUGUCCCCAAUCCCCAAUCAUUGCCGCCAGUCUCUCAUCAAGAGGGGACAGCUCCGGUGUCCCUUUUCCCACCCGUGGCAGACACACUUUGGCGAUGGCGCUAAACGUUUUUUUGCAUCCACUUUGAUGUCAGACCAUUUUUUCUUUAUUUCGGCCACGGCCCGAGGUUGUGAGGCUGCAGCGUUGCUCUGCAACCUUUUGCCACUCAAGUGCCUUUUUGGCAUUAGUAAUGUCCACACUGUGCCCUCCAAAAAGCAUUUUACUUCUCCUUUCCACCGCGACAAUGAUAAUUUCAACUUCACACGGAGUGAAGUUACGUUUCUUUGUUUUCCUCUCAGUGUUUGUCAUGAUUUCGCAAUCGAUGAAUAUUCAUUUGUGGGCGUUACACAGACUAUAUAUGGGCAACUAUGGGCGUGACAUGAAGCCGCAAAAGCUGCGCUGCAUUUAGAAGUGAUUUUGAUUUAUUAAGGGGAAACUGCGUAGGACGAGCAUGCGCACGGUUUAAUAAGUCUGAAUAUUUCUGUGCGUACACACGUCCUACGUUUCAUCCAUACGCCACUUCUGGCGCAAAUCCUACGCAAAGGUUUUAUAAAUGGCCCCUGGUGGUUCCAAACUUCUUCCAUUUCCAGAUGAUGGAGGGCACUGUGCUCACUGGGACUUUCAAUGCCGCAGAAAUCUUUCUGUACCCUAGGACUACAGAUAAUUUCUUUGGACUUCAUGGUUUAUGCUCUGAUAUGCACUGUCAACUGUGGUACCUUAUAUAGACAGGUGUGUGCCUUUCUCAAUCAUGUCCAAUCAACUGAAUUUAGCACAGGUGGACUCCAAUCAAGUUGUAGAAACAUCUCAAGGAUGAUCAGUGGAAACAGGAUGCACCUGAGCUACAUUUUGAGUGUUGUGGCAAAGGCUGUGAAUAUUUAUGUACAUGUUAUGUUUUUGUUCUUUAUUUUUAACAGAUUUGCAAAAAUUUGCAAAGAAACAGUUUUCACUUUGUCAUUAUAGGUUGUUGUGUGUAGAAUGUUGAGGAAAAUUAUGAAUUUAAUCCAUUUUGGAAUAAGGCUGUAACAUAAAAAAAUGUGGAAAAAGUGAAGCGCUGUGAAUACUUUCUGGAUGCACUGUAGGUUGAAGCUAAUUUAUAAGGAAUUCCGAGGCAGAGUGGCCACCCUCCAGUCGGGUUAUCAGCAGUUCGAUCCCUCGCUCCUCCAGUCCACGCGUUGAAGUGCCCUCGAUUCAAAUACUGAACCCAGAAUCAACCCUACAGGCUGGGCCAUUAUGUCAAAGAAUGUAUUUACUUUGAUCCUGAUGGCAUCUUGCAUGGCAGCCUAGGAAGUUAUUGAAUAAAUGCAGGUCCAUUAAACAUUCACCUAAGCAGCUCCUUCAGCUUUUCAUCUUUCAGCUCUGUUUUCUGGCAGCAGCUUUUGGGCUCAUUCUCAGUGCGCUCACCUUGUUCCAGCAGCAGCAUGUGGCUGUUCUCUAAUAUUUCCAUCAUGAGCAGGUGUAAAGUCGUGACAUUCCCGCUAACCUCUAAAGAUGAUGUCUUAGCUGUGUUAAUACGACAGAAAUCUGUCUGAAAUCAGCGUGUUUUCAAAUUUAGAAGACGGCGUGCUCUAUGUCCUCUCCUGUAAGGCUUAGCUGACUGACAGUAGGAUGAGGCAGAGCUUUAAGCUACGAAAUAAAUCCACCGUGACAACAAUCUGGGAAAGUUUUCUUACAGGUUGAAGUUAGUUUUUGAAACCAGACUCUAUGGUUUUACAGCUAACAACAAGUAUCUAUGACUAGUAGAUUGUAGACAAAGAAAAAUGAUGUCAUUAUAAUGUGUAAAUGGAGUUUUAAGUUUUAGUUUGCUAUUUGAAGGAAUCAUUACUUGUCUAACUUUCUAAUAUGAGAUAUAAUCAGCUUAUAAAACAUAAUUAAAUCCAACAAAAACAGGAUUAAAAAAAGAAUUAAAAAAUACAUUUUUUAAAUCAUUUUAAUUGUGUGGCUUUCAUACAGAUAAACACUUAAGAUGACUACAAACAUUUUAAUUAGAAUUUAAAAUAUAUAUUACAGCCGCUGAUAUUAUAACAAAAAAAAGUGUGGAGCAGUUUGUUUGCCCGCUGCUAAGACAAAACUCUAAAAAAAGUGCAGAUGUCCGUCCUCCACUUCUGGCUGCAUGUACAGAUGUGUGAAGGAGCCAGUUUGGACGUGCCUGUAGUGUUUGCGCCCAUGUCCAUGGAGCUACAACAAUCCUGGCUCUGCAUCACUAUAAAGCCCAACAGCAACGACAGUACAGAUGGCCAGAGGUAUGUGUGUGUGUGUGUGUGUGUGUGUGUGUGUGUGUGUGUGUGUUAUUGUCCCAAGAAAAUCUCAUUCCUGCAAAGAGGCUCUUUUCCAUAGCUACGAAAGAAAGAAGUUAAAUCUGCCUUACUUGUCGGCGCUGCGUACAGUGUGACGAGCUCUAUUCCAUUCAUGGUGUUGUACUGUGUCCAGCUAUGCCAGUGCAGUUGGAGUAGCAAUGUAACACGAAUGUGCCAUUCUUCCAUUUUCCUACCAGAGCAUAAAUAUAACGUUUUCAAAUUCUUGGAAAUAUUUGUUUUCAUUGCGACCAAUAGACAUUGAUGUUGGGUAUUCAAUCCAUUUAGUCU